GCAGGUAUAGCUCAGUGGUAGAGUGUGUGCUUAGCAUGCAUGAGGUCCUAGGUUCAAUCCCCUAUACCUCCA
rnacentral:tRNA from 1 species